rnacentral:rRNA from 1 species
CACUGGCAUGCCUAGUACGGCGAGUGAGCGGCAACAGCUCAAAUUUGAAAGCUAGCCUUCGGGUUCGCAUUGUAAUUUGUAGAGGAUGCUUUGGGUAAAACGCCAGUCUAAGUUCCUUGGAACAGGACGUCAUAGAGGGUGAGAAUCCCGUAUGUGACUGGAAAUGUUAACCUAUGUAAAGCUCCUUCGACGAGUCGAGUUGUUUGGGAAUGCAGCUCUAAAUGGGAGGUAAAUUUCUUCUAAAGCUAAAUAUUGGCGAGAGACCGAUAGCGCACAAGUAGAGUGAUCGAAAGAUGAAAAGCACUUUGGAAAGAGAGUUAAAAAGCACGUGAAAUUGUUGAAAGGGAAGCGCUUGCAAUCAGACUUGUUUAAACUGUUCGGCCGGUCUUCUGACCGGUUUACUCAGUUUGGACAGGCCAGCAUCAGUUUCGGCGGCCGGAUAAAGGCUCUGGGAAUGUGGCCUCCACUUCGGUGGAGGUGUUAUAGCCCAGUGUGUAAUACGGCCAGCCGGGACUGAGGUCCGCGCUUCGGCUAGGAUGCUGGCGUAAUGGUUGUAAGCGACCCGUCUUGAACACCGGACACA